rnacentral:rRNA from 1 species
AUUGAACGCUGGCGGCAUGCCUUACACAUGCAAGUCGAACGGUAACGGGCCUUCGGGUGCCGACGAUUGGCGGCCGGGUGAGUAAUACAUCGGAACGUGCCCGAUCGUGGGGGAUAGGGAAGCGAAAGCUUAGCUAAUACCGCAUACGAUAUACGGACGUAAGCAGGGGACCGCAAGGCUUAGCGCGGCCGGAGCGGCCGAUGGCAGUUUGGGUAGUUGGUGGGAGAAAAGUUGUGCAAGCGGACGACCUGUAGCUGGUCCGAGAGGAUGAUCAUCCACACGGGGACUGAGACACGGCCCAGACUCCUACGGGAGGCAGCAGAGGGGAAUUUUGGACAAUGGGCGCAAGCCUGAUCCAGCCAUGCCGCGUGGAGGAUGAAGGCCUUCGGGUUGUAAACUGCUUUUGUAGGGAACGAAAAGCCUUCGUUUAAUACAGGAGGGUCAUGACGGUACCGUAAGAAUAAGCACCGGCUAACUACGUG